rnacentral:rRNA from 1 species
UACGUAGGGUGCGAGCGUUAAUCGGAAUUACUGGGCGUAAAGCGUGCGCAGGCGGCGCGUUAAGACAGGUGUGAAAGCCCCCGAGCUUAACUUGGGGAAUUGCGCUUGUGACUGGCGUGCUGGAGUGUGGCAGAGGGAGGUGGGAAUUCCACGUGUAGCAGUGAAAUGCGUAGAGAUGUGGAGGAACACCGAUGGCGAAGGCAGCCUCCUGGGCCAGCACUGACGCUCAUGCACGAAAGCGUGGGGAGCAAACAGG